AGGACGAACGCUGGCGGCGUGCUUAACACAUGCAAGUCGAGCGAGGCUCCUCCUUCGGGAGGAUGCCCUAGCGGCGAACGGGUGAGUAACACGUGGGCAACCUGCCCCUAGCACUGGGAUAACCCCGGGAAACCGGGGCUAAUACCGGAUACGACUUCGGAAGGCAUCUUCUGAAGUGGAAAAGGUUACUGGCUAGGGAUGGGCCCGCGGCCUAUCAGCUUGUUGGUGGGGUAAUGGCCCACCAAGGCGACGACGGGUAGCCGGCCUGAGAGGGCGACCGGCCACACUGGGACUGAGACACGGCCCAGACUCCUACGGGAGGCAGCAGUGGGAAUAUUGCACAAUGGGCGAAAGCCUGAUGCAGCGACGCCGCGUGAGGGAUGACGGCCUUCGGGUUGUAAACCUCUUUCAGCAGGACGAAGCGAAGUGACGGUACUGCAGAGAAGCACGGCCAACUACGCGCCAGCAGCCGC
rnacentral:rRNA from 1 species